rnacentral:rRNA from 1 species
CCUACGGGAGGCAGCAGUCGAGAAUCAUUCACAAUGGGGGAAACCCUGAUGGUGCGACGCCGCGUGGGGGAAUGAAGGUCUUCGGAUUGUAAACCCCUGUCAUGUGGGAGCAAAUUAAAAAGAUAGUACCACAAGAGGAAGAGACGGCUAACUCUGUGCCAGCAGCCGCGGUAAUACAGAGGUCUCAAGCGUUGUUCGGAAUCACUGGGCGUAAAGCGUGCGUAGGCUGUUUCGUAAGUCGUGUGUGAAAGGCGCGGGCUCAACCCGCGGACGGCACAUGAUACUGCGAGACUAGAGUAAUGGAGGGGGAACCGGAAUGCUCGGUGUAGCAGUGAAAUGCGGAGAUAGCGAGAGGAACACUCGUGGCGAAGGCGGGUUCCUGGACAUUAACUGACGCUGAGGCACGAAGGCCAGGGGAGCGAAAGGGAUUAGAUACCCCAGUAGUC